UACAGAGGGUGCAAGCGUUAAUCGGAAUUACUGGGCGUAGAGAGCACGUAGGUGGUUGGAUAAGUCAGAUGUGAAAUCCCCGGGCUUAACCUGGGAACUGCAUUUGUGACUGCAAGGCUAGAGUACGGCAGAGGGGGGUAGAAUUCCACGUGUAGCAGUGAAAUGCGUAGAUAUGUGGAGGAAUACCGAUGGCGAAGGCAGCCCCCUGGGUCGAUACUGACGCUCAUGCACGAAAGCGUGGGGAGCAAACAGG
rnacentral:rRNA from 1 species